rnacentral:rRNA from 1 species
CCAGACUCCUACGGGAGGCAGCAGUGGGGAAUCUUCCGCAAUGGACGAAAGUCUGACGGAGCAACGCCGCGUGAGUGAUGACGGCCUUCGGGUUGUAAAGCUCUGUUAAUCGGGACGAAAGGCCUUCUUGCGAAUAGUGAGAAGGAUUGACGGUACCGGAAUAGAAAGCCACGGCUAACUACGUGCCAGCAGCCGCGGUAAUACGUAGGUGGCAAGCGUUGUCCGGAAUUAUUGGGCGUAAAGCGCGCGCAGGCGGAUCAGUCAGUCUGUCUUAAAAGUUCGGGGCUUAACCCCGUGAUGGGAUGGAAACUGCUGAUCUAGAGUAUCGGAGAGGAAAGUGGAAUUCCUAGUGUAGCGGUGAAAUGCGUAGAUAUUAGGAAGAACACCAGUGGCGAAGGCGACUUUCUGGACGAAAACUGACGCUGAGGCGCGAAAGCCAGGGGAGCGAACGGGAUUAGAUACCCCGGUAGUCCUGGCCGUAAACGAUGGGUACUAGGUGUAGGAGGUAUCGACCCCUUCUGUGCCGGAGUUAACGCAAUAAGUAUCCCGCCUGGGAAGUACGAUCGCAAGAUUAAAACUCAAAGGAAUUGACGGGGG